rnacentral:rRNA from 1 species
AGAUUGAACGCUGGCGGCAGGCCUAACACAUGCAAGUCGAGCGGCAGCACGGGUACUUGUACCUGGUGGCGAGCGGCGGACGGGUGAGUAAUGCCUAGGAAUCUGCCUGGUAGUGGGGGAUAACGCUCGGAAACGGACGCUAAUACCGCAUACGCCCGUUUGGGGGAAAGCCGGGGAUCGCAAGACCUGGCGCGGAUAGAUGAGCCGAUGUCGAUUAGCUAGUUGGUAGAGGUAAUGGCUACAACCGAAGGCGACGAUCCGUAGCGUGGUCUGAGAGGAUGAUCAGCCACACGUAGAACUGACGACGACGGUCCAGUACC